UACGUAGGGGCCGAGCGUUGUCCGGAGUUAUUGGGCGUAAAGCGCGUGUAGGCGGUCCGGUAAGUCCGCUGUGAAAGUCGGGGGCUCAACCCUCGGAUGCCGGUGGAUACUGUCGGGCUUGAGUACGGAAGAGGCGAGUGGAAUUCCUGGUGUAGCGGUGAAAUGCGCAGAUAUCAGGAGGAACACCAAUUGCGAAGGCAGCUCGCUGGGACGUUACUGACGCUGAGACGCGAAAGCGUGGGGAGCAAACAGG
rnacentral:rRNA from 1 species